GGUUGUGUAGUGUAGUGGUUAUCACUCCAGAUUUUGACGUGUAUGUUUCAAAACUUCUGGUAACCCCGGUUCGAGCCCGGGCACGACCU